ensembl:lncRNA
AACCAGAGAAUCCCCUAAUCCCUCGUUCCUGUCCAUAUGGAUCUUAGCUCAAAGAUGAUGGCCCCUUGAGGGCAGGGCGGGUUCCCAGCCCAGUGCCCGCGCUCCAUCACUACAGAGAACGUGCCUGAGCCGGUCUUCUCCCCCCGGGUUUAAGGAGUCAUAGCUGGGAAUGGAGUUUGCCGUUUUCCUCAGGGCCAUGGAAUUCUUGGUGACAACCUGCUUCUGGACCCCAGGCUCUGGUCCUGCCUGGCCCCUGGCUGUUGUGACCGGUGCCCCUGGGUCAGCUCCAGGGCUCUCCUUGGGGCCGGACUGGUGAGGCACAGAACUCAUCACAUGCCCUGUGAGCCCUCCUGGAGCCCGAGGCAGAUGGAAAGAUCACAACAGAUUCUGUCUUUAUUUGAGGAUUUCCUAAUUUGUUCAUCAUAUAUUUUUUUUUGCAAUAAUUUUGAUUUUCUAAAAUGCUGCAUUAAGAUAUCUCAAUCACUGUCACUUGGUGCUCCCUUCAGGUUGAUGAUAAGUCAGCUGUCUCCUUUGCCUCACUUGUCCAGUCCUGUUCUUCCUGCAUGACCUCCCAUUGCUGCCCAUGAAUCAGAGAGAUAGAGGAGAUGAUUGCCCCAGGCUUCCCAGUCCUGGAGUUUCAGCCUGCCCUGCAGGAAAAGUCAGAAGGCCUGUCUUCUACGAUUUGCAUAGAUGAACCUUCUUAUGUAUUCCUGUCAGAAAAUCCCAUGGACAGAGGAGACAGGUGGGCUGCAGUCCACGGGGUCGCAAAGAGUCGGGCACUCCUGAGCACAAGCAUCUCAUCAUCAAACAUUCCCCAGCGCCCUCUGGCUCCUGGGACCCAGGAGGGCCAGGUGUGUGCCAACGGCCGUUACUGCCCACUCUGUCCACUAGAUGGCGCACUGACCGCGCGGGUGAGCGUGGGGCCCCCUCCACCCCUCCCCCCAGGGCCCAGCUUUUUUGUGAAUUGCUGGCCAGUGUGGAGACCACCUGGUCAGCUGAUCCCCACUGCGGGCCCAAAGCACAGAGGAGACAGGCUCAGAGAGGUUGUUCUGUUCUCUCUGUUUCAGGACAUGGUCCAUUAUGUCAUGCAAUGCUUCUGCAUUCUGAUAAAUUCCAUCUUUUGCUAAGUCCCGGGAGAAGCUCCGCUUUCCUUGAGGAACUGAUGUGCAUUUCUUUCCCCAAAACGAAGAUCAUGAAAAGAUUGUCUCUUUUCUCUCCAGCUGCCAGGGACCUCAAAGCCAAAUGUGAAACUCAACUUUAUUACCCACUUGGGCCUGUGAAGUUUGCAUGUUUCUUUUUUACUUUUCCUCCCCUGGGCCUCUUACUUUUAAUUCCCAGGGUUAGUUUUUACAAUUUUAACUUUAUCGUGUGUUCUUGCUAGAGUUGCUUCAAAUCUAUAUGGAAUGAGGUGGAGUGUAAAAUAAAGAAAGGAAUGCAAUGGAAUAACGUUGCUUUUUAAUAACAAUGCAACUCAUUUAUAAAUGAAAAAGAGAUUGAAAAUUUGUCUCUAAUUUCCUAUAUGCAGUCUUGUAUUCCAGCCGACUUUCACUGUAAAAUUGAAACUGUGUUCCUCAAGGAAAAAGAAUCCUAGUCCUGAAAUGUUAUAAAAAUCACACUUUCUAUGGCAGAAAAUACGUAAAUUCACAUAUCUUAAAGAAAGCAAGCUAUUGUAAGAUACUGAGAACAGCAUGUAAAAUAAAUCACAGAACACAAAUGCAAAAUAACUGGAGUUGUUCUGAUGUUUUGUAUGUGGUCAGCCUCAUCCAGCUCUUUUGCAAGCCCAAGGACUGUAGCCUACCAGGCUCCUCCGUCCAUGGAAUUUCCCAGGCUAGAAUACUGGAGAGGGCUGCCAUUUCCUUCUCCAGGGAGACCUGCUGACCCAGGGAUCAGAAUCUGCGUUUCUUUCAUUGGCUGGUGGAUUCUUUACCACGGAACCACCUGGGAGCCCUUUUAGGAUGAGGAUUUAAAGAUUACAGGAAAAAGAAUGAGUCUUCC